rnacentral:rRNA from 1 species
UACGGAGGGGGCUAGCGUUGUUCGGAAUCAUUGGGCGUAAAGGGCGCGUAGGCGGCCGAUCAAGUCGGAGGUGAAAUCCCUCGGCUCAACUGAGGAAUUGCCUUCGAUACUGUUCGGCUUGAGUCCUGGAGAGGGUAGCGGAAUUCCUGGUGUAGCGGUGAAAUGCGUAGAGACCGGGAAGAACACCAGUGGCGAAGGCGGCUACCUGGACAGGUACUGACGCUGAAGCGCGAAAGCUAGGGGAGCAAACAGG